rnacentral:rRNA from 1 species
CUUCCAUCUGGAAGAAUCUGGAGACAGGUGCUGCAUGGCUGUCGUCAGCUCGUGUCGUGAGAUGUUGGGUUAAGUCCCGCAACGAGCGCAACCCUUGCCUUUAGUUGCCAGCAGUUCGGCUGGGCACUCUAAAGGGACUGCCGGUGUUAAACCGGAGGAAGGUGGGGAUGACGUCAAGUCCUCAUGGCCUUAUGACCAGGGCUACACACGUACUACAAUGGCCGAUACAAAGGGCAGCGACAUUGCGAGGUGAAGCCAAUCCCGUAAAACUACGGUCUCAGUCCGGAUUGGAGUCUGCAACUCGACUCCAUGAAGUUGGAAUCGCUAGUAAUCGUGGAUCAGCAUGCCACGGUGAAUACGUUCCCGGGCCUU